rnacentral:lncRNA from 1 species
UCUUCCCUCACUUUCCAUGGCAUUUCCCAGCAUGGGGGCGGUAGGAGGUAAAUGCUCUGGCAAAGACCGGUCCGGAAGUGGCUGCUUCUACUCUCUUACCCCAACGGUCAUUUGACUCUGCUGUUCUUGGAUGAAGGCAAUUUCUGCAGGAAGCUGGAGCGCGUGCACCACUGGAGUGGCGUCCCCCAGGGUUGAAUGUAACAGCUGAUGAGUGCGAUCCUUGCUCAUCCUUGUUUCUUUGUAGGUGACUUUUCUCCCUCUCCAGCAGCUUCCGGAACUUUCUCUCCGUCCCCGGGAUUCUGGAAUUUCACGGCGCAGGAGAGCAGGACUUUCUUAAAGCCCGUGGCUGGUGUCAAAGACUGAAAGCUGAACCUUCCGGGUCUCUGAAGGCUUGGCCCAGAACUGGCAAGAGUGUCCCUUCUAGCACUUUCUACUGGUCACGGCAAGUCAUGCCAUUAGCUCAGAUGCAAGGGGAGGGAA